rnacentral:lncRNA from 1 species
GCUUUGGCUAGUUAAUGGGAUAAACAAGAGGGUGAGAAAAGGAGCAUUGAGACAGAAAAGGAGAAAGUUUGGUGAAGCAGCAAGUCUGGAGGUAGUCGGGGCAAUUGUAUGUUUAGGCUGCCUCUCCACCAUCCUAGAGAAACCUUAGCCAGCUUCUUCAUUUCUCAACAGCUUAAAAUAGUUCUGUCUCUACUGAAGGAGAAAAAACUAACUUUAUUCAAAAUUCUACACUUUUAAAAUGAUAGUUAUUUUCUCCCAACUGCCAAAGCAGAUUUUUGUUUGUUUGUUAACUUGGGCUUUUUUUUCUUUUGUUUUUUUUUUUUUUUUUUUUUUUUUGGGGGGGGGGGGGGGGGGGGGGGGGGGGGGAUGGUUCUUGUUACAGUACUGGGAAUCAGACCCAGGGCCUCUUUCAUGCUAAGAAAGUUCUCUACCACUGAGCUCCACCUCCAACCCUAACGGUUUUAAUCAGUGAGAAGGUAUAGCUUAGUUUUAGAAAUCUAUAGACAGAGCAUUCAUUAAUCUCCAGGAUAUACAAAGAACUCAAAAUAACACCAAGAAAACAAGUAACCCAGUCAAUAAAUGGGCAAAAACUGAACAAGCACCUCACAGAUGAAGAAAUACAAAUGGUCAACAAAUAUAUGAAAAAGUGUUCAACGUCUCAAGCAAUUAGAGAAAUGCAAAUUAAAACUACACUGAGAUUCCAUCUCCAGUCAGAAUGGCAAUUAUAAAAAACAUACAAGUAACAAUAAAUGUUAGGUGAGGAUGUGGGGGAAAAGGUACUUUCAUACAUUGCUGGUAGGACUGCAAAUUGGUGCAACCACUAUGGAAAGCAGUAUAGAGAUUCCUUAGAAAACUUGGAACCACCAUUUGAUCCAGUUAUCCUACUCCCUAGUAUAUACCCAAAGGACUUAAAAUUGGCAUACUACAGUGACACAGCCACAUCAGUGUUUAUAGCAAUUCAAUUCACAAUAGCCAAGGUAUGGAACCAACCUAGGUGUCCUUCAACAGAUGGAUGAAUAAAAAAAUGUGGUAUAUAUACACAGUGGACUGUUACUUCGCCAUAAAGAAAAGUGAAAUUAUGGCAUUUGCCAGAAUAUCAUGCUAGGUGAAAUAAGGCAAUCCCAAAAAAACAAAGGCCGAAGGUUCUCUCUAAUAUGUGGAUGCUAACCCACAACAAGGGGCAGGGAGGGGGAAUAAUAGAAGUCCAUUGGAUUAGACAAAAGGGAAUGAAAGGAAAAGAGGGGGAGGGGAAUAGGUAGGACAGUGGAAUUAAUCAGACAUAACUUUUCCAUCCUUGUAUCUGAAUACAUGACCUGGGUAACGGCAUCAUGUACAACCACAAGACUGGGAUCCUAAUUAGAAUAAGUUAUACUCCAUGUAUGUAUAAUAUGCCAAAAUACACCCUAUUGUCAUGUAUAUCUAAAGAGAACAAAUAAAUUU